UUAGCCCAAAUUUGUAUGCACUUGGAACGUUUGCCUACCUUUGCCGCUAGGGGCGCUGUUCCAACUGCAUACAAAUGUGAGUUA
rnacentral:pre_miRNA from 1 species